ACCAGACUCAGGUGCCCAGCUGGCUUCACCUAGUGGAUCCCGCACCAGCCCUGCAGGUGGAGCUGCCUGCCAGUCCCGCACCGUGCGCCCGCACUCUUCAGCCCUUGGGCGGUCGAUGGGACUGGCCGCCGUGGAGCAGGGGGCGGCGCUCGUCGGGUAGGCUGGGGCUGCGCAGGAGCCCACGGCGGGUGGGUGGGGGGAGGUUCCCACAUGGCGGGCUGCAGGUCCCGAGGCCAGCCCCGCGGGGAGGCAGCUAAGGCCCGGGCGAGAAAUCUAGCAAAGCAGCUGCUGGCCCAGGUGCUAAGCCCCUCACUGCCUGGGGCGGCGGGGUCGGCCGGCCUCUCCGAGUGCCGGCCUGCGAGCCCACGCCCACCCGGAACUCGCACUGGCCCGCAAGCGCCGCGCGCAGCCCCGGUUCCCGCCCGCGCCUCUCCCUCCACACCUCCCAGCAAGUUAAGGGAGCCCAGCAAGGCUCCGGCCUUGGCCAGCCCAGAAAGGGACUCCCACAGUGCAGUGCCGGGCUGAAGGGCUCCUCAAGCGCGGCCAGAAUGGGCCCCGAGGCCCAGGUGGUGCCAAGAGAGAGCGACGGCUGCCAGCAUGCUGUUACCUCUCAUUAGGAUACUUAGAAAGUUUUCUCUAGACUUGGAGUCUUGCUUUGUUGCCUGAGCUGGUCUCGACCUCCUGGCCUCAAACAAUCCUCCUUCGUCCGCCUCCCAAAACACUGGAAUUACAGCUGCAAUUGGGAUUUUCAAGCUGACCCCCAUCUGGUAGGAUGAUGAUGCCUUCUGGAAGAUUCUCGACAGAGCCCAAAUGACCAACAGAGUAGGUCAAAAGCAGAAGGACAGAUGAUAAAAUGCCAAAAAAGGGAGUUUCAACCAGACAAGAGUUUAGGAGAGUAUUUUGAUGGAAAGAAGAUAGCAACCAUAGGACUCGGUUGUAGACAUCCAGAAGAUGGUGCAAAACAGUAGCUGCAUUUCAGCAGAAGCCCAAUGGAUGUGGAAAACAAUGGCUUAACAGAGGUAACAGGCUGCCAUGAGCUUCAUAAAAACAAAUUCAUGACACUAAUUGACUUAUUUAAUAUGAGAAGAAUCAAGAUUUUCACACUCAAGUUGAGGACAUACUUAAAUUAGCCAACCAAAUAAAGGUAUGUAAUACAACAAUACCCUUUUUGGAAGCUAGGGAAGCAGUAUUUUUUACUGGUAGAGAUCAAAAAAUUUUCCCUAAGUGAGUGUUGUAUACUUUGUGAAUGUGUGAAUAUAUGAAUGAGUCAGAGGGCAAGUCUUUAGGAAUUUUCUUUGUAACUCUGAGUAAAACAGUAGUGUCAAUAUUCCCUUGGGUUAAUGUAAGCAGAUCUGCUAUUAAUACUAGGCAAAAAAAGGAAAUAAUUCUUGAACUUUCUCAUAUUUUAUAUAUUAUGGUAAAUUAUGCUGAAUGAAUUUUAAAAAUUAGUAAUUGUGAAAUGUAAAUUUAAUUUUCUUAAAAUAUAUCAGGACUAUACUAUAGUUUAAAAUUCAUGAAAAAUUAUAAGAAGUUUACAUUUAUUGACAAAAAUUAAAACUAUAGAACUCUUGAAUCACCAAACCUAAUUUCAUACUUCGGCGAUAAUUCUGUGUGAACAGUAUUUCCAAAGAGAUGAAUUAAUGUAUGUAGCCUAUUAAAGUUCCUUGUGAGAGUGAGAUAAUUCUAUAAAUACAUAAAGAAGUUUAUAAUUAAACAAAACAACUUUCAUUAUAUAUUGACACUGCAUGAUUAAUAACUGCUUUCUAAAUUUGUGAUGCUUACUAUAUAUACUUGUAUUACAUUUCAAAUAUUAACAUAAUUUUCUCAACAUAUAUUUAAACAUGUGUUUUCUAUAAGAUACAUGCUAGAUAGUGUAAGUCUCUACAUGAAGCCGAAACUGUAGAACCUUCUCCUUUUAGGGAAUUUAUACUACAAUUUUAGACUGCCUUCUGAUGUUAAUUUAAACUUAUUUCAAAUAGAAUACUUAAUUAGUAAAACAAAUCCAACUCUACAGCAUGUUUGGAUGAAAAAACAAUAAAGACUGCAUCCAGAGAAAAAACACCCAAUAUAGAAAACAACAAUUUUAUAUAUCUUUCUCUACUUAUAUUCUUACCAUUCUGUUUUAUAAUUCCAAGUUGGAUCUAUUUCUGUACUCAAAAACAGAAUAGUAUUUGCCACUCUUCAAAGACAGGAUGCUUUUUUAGAAAUUUGUGUCUUUUUUUCAUAUGGUUUUCUCUUUCCGUCUUCCACCUAUUAAACAUAGAUAGCAUUCAAUACCUUGGUUAAGUAUGAUAUUUUAUGUGAAGCUUUCUGUGACCAUAAAAGAUCAUUAAAUUUCUUCCUCCUUUGAAUUUUAUAUAUUUGCG
rnacentral:lncRNA from 10 species